rnacentral:rRNA from 1 species
UACGUAGGGUGCGAGCGUUGUCCGGAAUUAUUGGGCGUAAAGGGCUCGUAGGCGGUUUGUCGCGUCGGGAGUGAAAACCUUGGGCUUAACUCAGGGCUUGCUUUCGAUACGGGCAGACUAGAGGUAUGCAGGGGAGAACGGAAUUCCUGGUGUAGCGGUGAAAUGCGCAGAUAUCAGGAGGAACACCGGUGGCGAAGGCGGCUCUCUGGGCAUGAUCUGACGCUGAGGAGCGAAAGUGUGGGGAGCGAACAGG